rnacentral:rRNA from 1 species
GUCUAUGGUCAUGCCACCCUGAACAAGCUCAAUACAAUCUGAUCUCGGAAGCUAAGCAGGGUCAGGCCUGGUUAGUAAUUAGAUGGGAGACGACCUAGGAAGACCAGGUGCUGGAGGCA